GAAAUUUUCUUAUUUCACAAUUCUUUAACUUCACGAGCUAGAAUACGAAUCAAUUCUUCCUCAUAUGUCAUAUCAGACUUAAUUUCGAUCUCUGACGGAUUAAUCACAUGUGAGGGAUCAGAUUGAUAUCUAUGGAGCAUCGAAACAUGGAAUACAUUAUGGAUCAUUUCUAACUUAGGUGGCAACAAUAGCCUGCAUGCAACCAGCCCAAUAUGCUUUAUAAUCUCAUAUGGCCCAAUAAAUCUCGGACUCAAUUUGCCUUUACGAUAGAAUUUGAGUAUUUUCUUCC
rnacentral:lncRNA from 1 species